rnacentral:rRNA from 1 species
UACGGAGGGUGCAAGCGUUAUCCGGAUUCACUGGGUUUAAAGGGUGCGUAGGCGGGCAGGUAAGUCAGUGGUGAAAUCCUAGAGCUUAACUCUAGAACUGCCAUUGAUACUAUCUGUCUUGAAUAUUGUGGAGGUAAGCGGAAUAUGUCAUGUAGCGGUGAAAUGCUUAGAUAUGACAUAGAACACCUAUUGCGAAGGCAGCUUACUACGCAUAUAUUGACGCUGAGGCACGAAAGCGUGGGGGAUCAAACAGG